ensembl:lncRNA
UGCCUUUUAUUUCUUUUUAAUGCCUUCGUUAAGUAUGAUGAUAACUUUAAUUUUUUUAGAUUAAAAAAUUAAGAUACAGGCUCAGUGGUAACAAACCCAACUAGUAUCAAUGAGGGUGCAGGUUCAAUCCCUAGCCUCACUCAAUGGGUUAAGGAUCCGGCAUUGCCAUGAACUGCAGUGUAGGUUGCAGAUGUAGCUGGGAUCCAACGUUGCUUUGGCUGUGGCAUAAACUAGCAGCUGCAGCUCCAAUUUACCCCUAGCCUGGGAACUUCUGUAUACCGCAGGUGUGGGUCUAAAAAAAUAAAAUAAAAAAAGACAAAAAAAUUAAGAUACAGAAAUUAUCCUUUUAGUUCUACUUUUCCAAGAGUUUUUAUCAUGAAUAAAUAUAUGUUGAAUUUUGUCAAAAAUAUUCCUUUUCUGCAUCAUUUAACAUGACCAUGUGAUUUUUUUUCUUCUGUAGUCUAUUAAUAUGAUGGAUUAUAUUAAUUGAGUUUCAAAUAUCAAACUAGCCUUGCAUUUCUGGAAUAAACUUGUUCAUGGUGUAUAAUUCUUCUAUAUUUCUGUAUUCUCUUUAUUAGCAUUUUGUUAGAAAUGUUUAUGUAUGUGUUGGGAAGAGAUAUGAAUUUUUGCUUCUGCGCAUACUGUCUUAAUCUAUAUCUCAUCACCUGAGGAACAAUACUUACCCUGUAUUAUUAACUCUUUGGUCCCCUCCCAUCCACUUUCCUUCCUCAUUUCUUUUUUAGGUUAACGUAUUCUUUCAUUUUCUCAUGCAGAACCGCUUAGCCAUUCUUCUUUUGUUGCAUGUAAUUUAUCUGCUAUUGCUUUUCUUUCUUUUACUCGAAAAGGUUUAUUUUAGUAUUUUUCCAAACAUGGAGAGUUUGCAUUCUAUAUGAAUACUAGUAUAAGUUAGUGAAAAUAUGAUGUUUUGCUAUUUUACUAACGAUACUAGUGAUAAUUAAAAACUGAAUUAAGAAGAUUAAUAAUAGUAUAGUGUGCUGUUUAUACUGAUGACAGGAUAUAUGAUAUAUGAUAAAUUUCCUAGGGAUUCCAAAGUUUGCAAGUCCUACUUUAUAAUGAGAAAAUUUAGAAAAAAAUAUUGGUAAGAGAAAUAGAAGCCAAUCAUAUAUUAGCAAUAUAUCCCACUAUAUAUUGUGGAAUAUUUGGUUAUGAAAAAAGUAAUAAAUGAAAAAAUGCACACAUAUAUACAUGUAUAAAUGUAUAUGUAUGUGUGUAUGUAUAUUUGUACAGAUAGAUACAUUAUACAUAUAUGCUAUAAAGCAUGAAUGAAAUAUCACAUGCAUCCUGAAGUAAUUAGUAAUGGUAACUAAUAUUUAUUUGAUGCCCUGUGAUAAUUUAAUCAUUAUCAUGUAAUCAUGACAACAACUCUAUAAGUAGCUACUGUUACAUUUCCUUUUUUAGAGGUGAGGGAAUUUAUAACCAUUAUGUUGUUGAACCGGUUAUUAAACUGAGACAACCUGACUCUAGAGGCUCUGCCCUUAACUACUGUCUUUUAGUGAUCAUUUGAUUCAUCCAUUCAAUAUUUAUUGAGCAUCUAUUAUGCACCUGGUAUUGAAAAAGAUGAAGAUAUAAAGAUGAAUUAGCAAAACAUGUUCCCUGCUUUCAGGAAACCAACAGCCUAGUAGUGACAGAGAAAUAAAAUAAUAACCUUCUAAACUAGAAUCUAAAUUGGGGAAGAAAUGAAGGAAAUGUAUAGGGCACUUAAGAAAGAGGACUAACUUUGAAAUUAAAGGAGGAGAAGUGUUAUGGAACACCUCUUUAUGUUAGGUAUAAGUAGAUUUUAGCUAGGGGAAGGGGGAGGUGAAGAUGAGAAAAUACUUUUCAGAAAAACAUAAUUGUUUCUGCAGAUACCCUGUAGCGAGAAAGACCUCAGUCCCUAGGAAGAUGUGAAAGAAGGACAGAGUGACUUUAUUCCUGAGAUUGAAGGGAACUGUAGGGUGGGAUGAAGCAGGCUGGGUAUCAUGUUAGGCAUUGCAGAACAUACCUGCAAUUUGGAAUAUUUGGCAAAUGCGAUAGGUACAGGAUUGGAGGGGGUCAAGAAUGAAGGGUGGGUCAUUACAGAAGCCUUGUAAGUGGUUUGCAUAUUGAAAAAGCAGGACUAAAUUUCUUGCAUGCUUUGUUCAUUUGAGCUAAAAAAAAAUCCUAAGUGUUUUAUUCCAGAAAUCUCCAAACAUCCAAGAGCUUUUCCUUUUCUUACAAUACCUUGAUUUAAUCUUUGUAGUGCUAGUAACUCAAAGGCAAAUCUCUUAUUGGAUUUGCAAUCCAAUGAGAAAUAUAGCCCUCACAUAUGUGCCUGACUUAAUGACUCCUGCUGAGGUUGAAUUGUGAGAUGUUAUCCAUCUCCACUCUGAAAUAUGAAUUCUAGUUUAGUGGAAUUCGUUUCCCUUAGGGAGUUGGUAAUAUCACUUUUUGAUUUUUUUUAAAGCCUAUUGAUAAUAUAUUUUAAAGUUGAGGAGAUAGAAUGCACAUUAUAUAUUGGGUUUCAGCUAGCUAGAUGAAAUUACAUGCUAACCUCUUGUUAUAAAAGUUAUCAAACAUUCAUAUAUUAGCUUAGAAACUGUAUAGGCUUGUUGAAAGUUAAAACAAAAUAUUGAUAUGUAUUUGUAUUUUUACAUGCUUAUACAUAGAAUCUGUUUUUAAAGUAUUUUUACUAAAAAUUUAUUCAAGUUUUUGGCUGCUAUUUAAAAAACCAGGAUAUUUAUAACAAAUAUCACUUUUCUCCCUGACAGGUGAGAGAUGGAAUAAAAUGUUUGACAAAUAUAUUUUUAUAUUUGUCAAAUAUUUUGUAUUGCAUUUUCCCUCUUAUCUUUGAAAGGUAAUUCUAAAAUCCAUAAUAUUUAAACAUUUUAUCCAUGAAAGUCAGGGACAUUUUGAAAAUCAGAAAACUUAUACCAUACUUUUAUGGUAUAAAAUACAAAUCAACUUUGUCUUUUGUGGCAAUUUAAUUACUUCAAUUAAGAAAAUGAAAACUUGGGAGUUCCCUUCAUGGCUCAGUGGUCAACGAACCCAGCUAGGAUCCAUGAGGAUGUAGGUUCAGUCUCUGGCCUUGCUAAGUGGAUUAAGGAUCUGGCAUUGCUGUGAGCUGUGGUGUAGGCUGGCAGUUAUAGCUCUGAUUUGACCCUAGUCUGGGAACUUCCAUAUGCUACACUUGCGGCCAUAAAAAGC